rnacentral:rRNA from 1 species
UACGUAGGGGGCAAGCGUUGUCCGGAAUCAUUGGGCGUAAAGCGCGUGUAGGCGGUUACGUAAGUCUGCUGUGAAAGUCGGAGGCUCAACCUUCGAAAGCCGGUGGAUACUGCGUGACUAGAGUUCGGAAGAGGAGAGUGGAAUUCCUGGUGUAGCGGUGAAAUGCGCAGAUAUCAGGAGGAACACCAACGGCGAAGGCAGCUCUCUGGGACGAUACUGACGCUGAGACGCGAAAGCGUGGGGAGCAAACAGG